rnacentral:rRNA from 1 species
GACGUAGGGCGCGAGCGUUGUCCGGAUUUAUUGGGCGUAAAGAGCUCGUAGGCGGCUUGUCGCGUCGACUGUGAAAACCCGCGGCUCAACCGUGUGGCUUGCAGUUUGAUACGGGCAGGCUAGAGUUCGGUAGGGGAGACUGGAAUUCCUGGAUGUAGCGGUGAAAUGCGCAGAUAUCAGGAGGAACACCAGCGGCGAAGGCGGCGCUCUGGGCCGGAACUGACGCUGAGGAAGCGAAAGGCGUGGGGAGCAAACAGG